UAUAAGAGGCGAGCAGUGGCGGGGGCCUCACUGUUCACUCCUCUCACCACGAUGGCCAAGCUGUUGCUGCUGCUGCUGGAGCUGUGUCUCAUGUACCACCACACGUGUGGUGAACAGCAACCAGAGGCCAAAAAGAGUGCUUCGCGCCGUUCACCGCUGUCCACCUCCAGUGUGUUCUUGUGUUGCCUGAUGUCUUGGGCUCCUGGUAUGAUAUGAGAAAUUAUUGCCAAGAUCUACGUGGAGAAUUGCUCAAGGUGGACAUCGACAACUUAAUGUAUUACCUUGUCAAAUACAUCUACGAUAAUGGACAGGAGAUUACUGGAUCGGAGGGUCAGACGAAGGGCACGAGGGAGACUUCCUCUGGACCGAUAGUACCAGUGUCAAAAUGGGAACACCACUUUGGGGUGAUGGAGUUCAUGACCAAAUCCAGGACCCGAUGGUGGGAUCGGUCAGAAUUGUAUUUUCAUGGCUCGGGGCGAUCAUUUUUUCUUUUUUGAUAAUGACUGUAAUCUCAAUCAUAAUGUUAUUUGUGAGCAAGCAUAAGUAUAAGUGGAACACAAUAAUUAAUUAUUACUGCAGUACUAUGCUACAUGGACACACAUUAACAAGGUACUAUUCUAAACUCUCUAGAAGUGUUACUCAAGAUUAGGGAUCUACUGGUAUGCUGCCCAAAAUUCUGCUUCUUUGUGAAUUUG